CUGGGCUCUACACCCGCGCAUGCGCAGCCUGCGAAGGUCCAGGUCCGGCUGUUAGCCCUGAGGGGCGAUUCCUGAGUCCCAGGGAGAUGGGUUAGAGCUUAAACGCCCGGAGUUCUACGGCUCUGUCGGUAAAAUCAUACAAAUACGAGUAUGUGCUUAUGACAGAUGAAAGAGGGACAGUCACCAGUAUGCUAAUGAUCAUCAUCUCUGGAAUGUGGGAUUUCAGUUGAUGAUCUCAUCACUGUGUCUGUGACUUUCAAACCAGAGAUUCUGCUGUGGGACUCCUCUCUCGACAAGAUGCUGUUUCAAAAUUGAUUAGUUCUCCAACCCGCCCACUGAAAUCAUCCAACCUAUUGAAGAAGCAGAAUGGGAUGUGGAUUAUAGGGUUUCAGAUAACACCAAGUCCCUUGUGAAAGGCACUGAUGAUACAAAAAUGACACAGACAAAAAUCUCUGCACCCAUGGAACUUACAUUCUUUUAGAGGAGACACGGUAAGCAAGGCAUUCUGUUGCUGCUAUACCACACCAGGAGUAUAAGGAAUUCCAGGCCUUGUCAUUUGCUGAGACACUUCCUAGAAGAUAAGACAUGCAUCUUCAUUGCUCAGGUUGCAAGAGAUUCUGAUUCAGGAAGUUCCAUUUGUGGCCCAGGAAUCUAAUCUUUAUUUACCACUUUCCAACCAACACCAUUCCUGACACAGCAAGAAUUCAGGAACGAAUGAAAGGAUGGAAACUCAAACAGAAUGACUAAACUGUAAUACAAAGAUAAUGAACUCCAAUGUAACAGGACAGCAAAUUAGAAGGCUGGGAAGUUGUUAGCCAUAAAAAAGAAAAAGAAAAAGAGCUUUAUUUCCACACUUUUGAAGCAUUCUUUGGAAACCAGAAAAAUCUAGCAAUACAGUUAACCCAGUUACUGUCAGUUCAAUUCUACUUUCAAAAGAAAGCCAGGCUAACAUUUUAAACAGAAAUUAUGUUUUAUGAAAAGGGAAGAAGAAGGAGUGAGAAGAACAUCAAAACCCUCAAAAGCAUGCCAAUGAGAAACCAAUCAGAAAGCAGGUUAGGAUCUCCAUUCACCCCAGCUUUUUGAAAUAAGCAUUUCCUGUCCUUAGCACCCUCCACUUUAUCAGCCUCGCAGAGACCUGGGGGAUAUCAGAAGUGGCUACCAAAGGGAUUCAUAUGCUAAACUGAAACACCUGCUUUCCAAACCAAAGGAAAAAUGAGUAAAACAUGGACCACCCACCCAGUCAGAAACAACGUACUUUGAGUUGGGUCGCUUUUAUGCCUUUUUCUUCUUAAGGGAUUCACCAGGAGUCUUAGAGAAGAUGGGUCGCUUUGAGCAUAUCCCAGGAAAGCUACCCUACAAUAAGUUGUAAUCAUCCGAAACACUAAAUCAAGACCAAGAUUCUUCUGCCUCGUGGACAUGGUGAUGCACCAGUGAUUGAUUACAAGUGGAGAUUACAAAACAAUAACAAAUUGACCACACUCUGGAAUGGCCUUUCAAAGUUGCAAAAUCCCAAUCAGAGUAUCCCAUUUGAAUAUUCCAAGUGAGUUUUUUGAGUUUCCAAAGAACUUUCUUUAAGGCGAAAAAAAAAAUUCUCAAAAUCCAUAAAAUUAUCUUAAUACAUAAUCCAGUUAAGAUUUUUAAAUCUGAUCAAAUACCAUUAAUAAAGAAAAUUACUUCUUAUAUAUUUUUUCUUAUUGUCAAAAACAUGUUUUGAGAUUAUUUAUGAAACCUCUUUCUUUUUUUGUUCUAACCCUGUGAGCUAAACAUGUUCCAUUUAUUUUUAAAUGAAGUGAAAAUUAGCCAGGUGUGUUAAAUAAGCUUUCUAUACACAGGUCUAAAUAUUGACAAAGGGAGAUGUGUCACUGGAAAAAUCAUCAGUCUGGCAAUUAUCACGUUAGCAUGUUAAGUGGAAAAAGAUGUGAAACUUCCAAAUGUGUCAAUACAGAUUAUUUCAUUUCCACUAGCUAUCAGCUAUACUGUGAACAUCAGUUCUUUAAUGUACACUAAGCAAACAGUUCGGCUAAAAAAAAUUUCUCUGUACCUGGAAAAAAAAGAAAAAAGAAUCACAAGGUCUGGUGCGAAAUCACAUAUGUUUCUAACUACUUAUUCAAAUAACCUAAAAGAGGGAAAGGGAGUACAAAUGGUGACGAAAGUACUUUCUGUAUACAUCUGUGUCUGCACUCCUUUUUCACUGAGUUACAUGAGUGAUCCCCACCAUUCUCAUUAGUCCCAAACCCAGAGUAUUUUCAAUAAAAAUAGCAGUGGCAUUUGCAAAGGGGCAUCAUAUCACUACACUUACGGUACUAAGAAAAUAAAAUAUUUCAGUUGCACACUUUAGACUCCUGUGAACUACACUUGAAGAUGAGAGAAAGUGCUAUUAAUUUUUGGCCUGUGAAACUGAAUAAAUAAAAACUCAUUUAAAAUGGAAUCCAGAGGACAGCAGUGGAAGCUUGCACCACUAUCACUCAAGGUCAAUUGCAGACCCCCACAAGAAGAGGCUGACUUUACUACCCCAGCAAGAGAAAGACUUUCUCCUUGCCCAGCAAUAAACACGGCCAGUAAGAAAAUACCACAACUCAACCAACAGGAAACAGUUACCACCCUGAACUCUUGUUUAUAUCCUCCAAUGAACUUCAUUCAAAGUAGCCCUUCCCAACUUCCUCCUUUUCUCUAUAAAGUAGACUUCCUCUACGUUAACCUCCAGACUUGCCUCAGUUUGCCAUACUUUGUGCAUCCUGAAUCGCAAUUCCUCUGCUAUUCCCAAAUAAACCCAUUUUGCUGGUAAAAAUUGCUGGCUAUUUAAGUUUGGCAGGUGUGAUUAAGAAUCAGAUGCAGGGGCACCUGGGGUGGCUCAGUCGGUUAAGCUUCCGACUUUGACUGAGGUCAUGAUCUCAUGUCAUGAUCUCAUCA